AUAUUUGAAGUGGGUAAAAAUCUGUAAAGCCACGUUACCAUGAGCACGCAGAGAACCUUUUCUGGAGAUUGAAAGGAAGUUGAAGAGCUGGGUUAGCUAUCAUCGUAAACUAUCAUCGUUAGUGAUGGCGUAAACCUGGAAGCCAGAGAAUAUCAUCUAAAUAUUGACAUUUCAAGAAACUGGAUAUAAAUGCAACCAAAGUGAGAUAUGAAACAAUCCAGUGAGGAGAAUAAGAAACCUGCCUAAAAAUGAAUUUUGAAAGGUGCAGAUGAAGGGGUUGAGCAUCGGGGUCACCACGGUGUUAAGCAAUGCCACCACCUUGUUCCUGUCUUCCUUCUGGUCACUUUUGCCUGACUGAAUGUACAUGAAGAUGCAGCUGCCAUAGAAGAGAGACACGACAAUGAUGUGGGAGGAGCAGGUGGAGAAGGCUUUCUGCUUCUCUUUGGCUGAGGGGAUGUGCAGAAUGGCGUGGAGGAUGUGGCCAUAGCAAGUGGCCAUCAUGGGACAGAGUGCCCACUAAGCUGACGUUGGCUGUAACAAAACCCAGGAGCUCUAUCAGAGUCAUGUCUGCACAAAUGAGUUCCAGGAGGGGAAAGUUGUCACAGAAGAAAUCGUUAAUGAUGUUGGGGCCAUAGAAUGGCUGCUGAAGGAUGAGAAAACUUG
rnacentral:antisense_RNA from 1 species